rnacentral:rRNA from 1 species
UACGUAGGGUGCGAGCGUUAAUCGGAAUUACUGGGCGUAAAGCGUGCGCAGGCGGUUAUGUAAGACAGGUGUGAAAUGCCCGGGCUUAACCUGGGAACUGCAUUUGUGACUGCAUGGCUAGAGUGUGUCAGAGGGGGGUAGAAUUCCACGUGUAGCAGUGAAAUGCGUAGAUAUGUGGAGGAAUACCGAUGGCGAAGGCAGCCCCCUGGGAUAACACUGACGCUCAUGCACGAAAGCGUGGGGAGCAAACAGG